rnacentral:lncRNA from 10 species
AAACAGGCUCAGAGAGGUCCAGUGGCCUCCCUGAGGUCACCCAGCUGGGCACUAUUGGGCAUCUUUAGUUCAUUUAGCCUUCUGAGAUGUAAAGCUCUUCUCUUUCCCCAAGAGGAGAUUGUGUAUACCUAUGGAGGAGACCUGAAGGGUGCCCUCAGGAAAGACCUCAGCACUCCUGUCCCCUUCUUAUGUCUGUGCUUUAAAUGCAGAACCCCCCAGCUGGGCGCGGUGGCUC